UUUGGGGCGGGAGAUGAGGGAGGGGGAACCAAGUUCCUUCCUACAGCGCCGUCCCGCGCAGCCGUCCCCGCCGCCGCCGCCUCACUCGCGCGCUUCAGCCGCCGCGCCGCCGCUGCCGCCGCUGCCGCCGCCGCCGCCGCCUCCGCAGAUUCAAAAACAAACCCGCUUCUCCCUUGCACGCGCCGGGGCCGUUAUGCAAAUUACUGUAGGCGGGACUCGGUGGUCGUACUAUUGGCCACGCCCACCGCGCUUUCAACCAAUAGGUUCACGGACUGGCCGGUCCCCAUGCAAAUCUUCUGGUUUUUUAUUUGAAUGAGAAAAAUUGGCCCCGCCUCCUGCCGUGGAAAAGAGAAGGAAGUCUGAGGUGGUGGCGCUGCGCCUCUCGGUUGCGGCGCGAGGUGUGCUUUCUGAGUGGAGCUUUGCUCAGCCAGUGAGUAGCACUUUGUGAGCGCCCUCUAUGAGCCUCAGGAAAGACGGAAGGAAGGAAAUAGCAAUUCCUGUGCUCCAGACCUAUACUAGGUGCCUGUCCUCAAGAAAUCUAUCCUGCAGUGGUGGAGACAGGACAGAAACAGGAAAUGUUUCCUCCUGCAUGUUCCUGUGGGAGAAGCACUGUCCCCUAUAAAAACCAAAAACUCUUCUAGCAGAGUCCAGCAGCUCAGGUCUAAUAGUUAAUGAAAUGAAUAUAGAACUGCUG